AAGUCGUAACAAGGUAACCGUAGGUGAACCUGCGGUUGGAUCAUUACCAAAUCCCGGGGCCCGCCGCAAGGCGGCGUCCCAACACCCACCUCUUGUGCAAUGUAACGUCGUUGGCGGGCGCCGCUCGUAGAGAGCGGCAUUGCGCCGGGGCCGUGCGCCAGUCUCCUCUCUUCACCGAGUCGAGGCAGGCCUGCGCCCGGCGACCGCCGACACCCCUUUACCACACACACACACCUCAUAACCCACUAUCCAACACACUGACGCUAACUUGCGACUCGCCUCGCGGCUUGAAGCAAAGAUAACGAAAAAACAACUUUUGACAACGGAUCUCUUGGCUCUC
rnacentral:misc_RNA from 1 species